GACGAACGCUGGCGGCGUGCUUAACACAUGCAAGUCGAACGAAGAGCGAUGGAAGCUUGCUUCUAUCAAUCUUAGUGGCGAACGGGUGAGUAACGCGUAAUCAACCUGCCCUUCAGAGGGGGACAACAGUUGGAAACGACUGCUAAUACCGCAUACGAUCUAAUCUCGGCAUCGAGGAUAGAUGAAAGGUGGCCUCUACAUGUAAGCUAUCACUGAAGGAGGGGAUUGCGUCUGAUUAGCUAGUUGGAGGGGUAACGGCCCACCAAGGCGAUGAUCAGUAGCCGGUCUGAGAGGAUGAACGGCCACAUUGGGACUGAGACACGGCCCAGACUCCUACGGGAGGCAGCAGUGGGGAAUCUUCCGCAAUGGACGAAAGUCUGACGGAGCAACGCCGCGUGAGUGAUGACGGCCUUCGGGUUGUAAAGCGCUGUUAAUCGGGACGAAAGGCCUUCUUGCGAAUAGUGAGAAGGAUUGACGGUACCGGAAUAGAAAGCCACGGCUAACUACGUG
rnacentral:rRNA from 1 species